GAUGAACGCUGGCGGCGUGCCUAAUACAUGCAAGUCGAGCGAACGGACGAGAAGCUUGCUUCUCUGAUGUUAGCGGCGGACGGGUGAGUAACACGUGGAUAACCUACCUAUAAGACUGGGAUAACUUCGGGAAACCGGAGCUAAUACCGGAUAAUAUUUUGAACCGCAUGGUUCAAAAGUAAAAGACGGUCUUGCUGUCACUUAUAGAUGGAUCCGCGCUGUAUUAGCUAGUUGGUAAGGUAACGGCUUACCAAGGCAACGAUGCAUAGCCGACCUGAGAGGGUGAUCGGCCACACUGGAACUGAGACACGGUCCAGACUCCUACGGGAGGCAGCAGUAGGGAAUCUUCCGCAAUGGGCGAAAGCCUGACGGAGCAACGCCGCGUGAGUGAUGAAGGUCUUCGGAUCGUAAAACUCUGUUAUUAGGGAAGAACAUAUGUGUAAGUAACUGUGCACAUCUUGACGGUACCUAAUCAGAAAGCCACGGCUAACUACGU
rnacentral:rRNA from 1 species